UUCAGUCAAUGGCGAUGGAAGACUAGGUAGAUUACGAAUAUGGCAAUGUAAAAUUUGAUCUUCUGUCUAUUUACGUAAAAAAAUACAAAAUAUUAAGUUAAUAUAUUAACAAUGAAAUAAAAAAUUAAACAAAAUUGAAAUUUAUUAAAAUUUAUUCAUACCAUUUGUAAUUGAAUGACGGAAAUGUGCUUGUCAUCAUGUCGG
rnacentral:lncRNA from 1 species